UUUUUUUUUUCUCUAAAUUUGUGAAGUAUGGCUGGCCCAUGUCAUUAGAUGUUCCUGUGUUCUUGUUCCCGCGUCCUCCUUUUCGGGCUGUGGUGUCUUACGAAGUGCACGUUUGGAGCUUGGGACGACAAAGCUGUGAAGCAAUGAAGCAGUCGUUCGGAGGGAAGAAUGCGUGUGAAGGGCGGUGACUGGUUGACUGGAGAUGAGUACGUAAGGUAAGGCUGGUAGGUAGGGAGGUGAGGAGCCAAUGUCUAAAGACCCGCAAGACCAUUACUUUGCGGAUGCCGGAUGGAGUAUGGAUUGCUGUGCUGGGUGCGUCCUUCAAUCGCAGUGUCAGUCUACUUCCAGCCUCGCGAAGAGCAGGAUUACGGCACCAAUACAGCGUUUUUUUUUUUUCCAUAAAUUUGUGAAGAAUAUGGCUGGCCCGUGUCAUUAGAUGUUCCUCCGUGUUCUUGUUCCUACGUCUUCCUUUUCGGCUUGUGGUGUCUUACGAAGUGCACGUUUGGAGCUUGGGACGACAAAGCUGAUAUGUACGGGUGUUCGACUUCAGCUUUGAAGCAGUUCUUCGGAGGGAAGAAUGCGUGUGAAGGGCGGUGAAUGGCUUGUAGGGAGAAGAGGAGCCAAUGUCUAAAGACCCGCAAGACCAUUACUUUGCGGAAUGCCGGAUGGAGUAUGGAUUGCUGUGCUGGGUGCGUCCUUCAAUCGCAGUGUCAGUCUACUUCCAGCCUCGCGAAGAGCAGGAUUACGGCACCAAUACAGCGUUUUUUUUUUCUCCUAAAUUUGUGAAGUAUGGCUGGCCCAUGUGACUAGAUACUCCUCCGUGUUCUUGUUCCCACGUCUUCCUUUUCGGGCUGUGGUGUCUUACGAAGUGCGCGUUUGGAGUUUUAAGACCACAAAGCUGAUAUGUACGGGUGUUCGACUUCAGCUUUGAAGCAGUUCUUCGGAGGGAAGAAUGCGUGUGAAGGGCGGUGAAUGGCUUGUAGGGAGAAGAGGAGCCAAUGUCUAAAGACCUGGAAGACCGUUACUUUGCGGAUGCCGGACGCAGUAUGGAAUUGCUGUGCUGGGUGCGUCCUUCAGUCGCAGUGUCAGUCUACUUACAGCCUCGCGAAGAGGAGGAUUACGGCACCAGUAACUUCGUCGGUGUUACGUAUUUUGUCGGUGUAUAUAUUAUGGACCUUGUAUUUUUUAUUAUCAUUAGGUUCUUUUCCUCCCAAUAGAUAGAUUUCCAUAACUUAGCCGAUACAGCCUGUAUUUCAUGUAUAGAUAGAUUUCCAUUUUCCAUAACUCAGUGGAUACAGCCUGUAUUGCAUGUAAUGUAUUGAUAUUUUCUUUCCCUCCCAAUACAUUCCAUCAUUUCCUUUGCAGAUGCUGUUUUUUCUAAAAUUUGUGAAGAGUAUGGGGGGGGGCCCGUGUCAUUAGAUGUUCCUCCGUGUUCUUGUUCCCACGUCUUCCUUUUCGGGCUGUGGUGUCUUACGAAGUGCACGUUUGGAGCUUGGGACGCCAAAUCUGAUGUGUCUUCUAGGGAAUUGUCUGCUUUGCUGUGAUUGUCUACGUGCUAUUCUCAAAUCUCACCACUUAAGAUGCAGCGUUUUUUUUCCUCCUAAAUUUGUGCAGAUUAUGGCUGGCCCGUGUCAUUAGAUGUUCCACCGUGUUCUUGUUCCCACGUCUUCCUUUUCGGGCUUUGCUGUCUUACGAAGUGCACGUUUGGAGCUUGGGACGCCAAAUCUGAUAUGUACGGAUGAUCGAGUUCAGCAUUGAAGCAGGUGAAGCAGUUCUUCGGAGGGAAGAAUGCGUGUGAAGGACGGUGAUUGGUUGACUGGAGGAGACGAGUACGUAAGGAGAUUGGCUGGUAGGGAGAUGAGGAGCCAAUGUCUGCUUGGUCUCGCGAGGAGCAGGAUUGCGACCCGCAAGACCGUUACUUUGCGGAUGCCGGAUGGAGUGUGGAUUGCUGUGCUGGGUACGUCCUUCAAUCGCAGUGUCAGUCUACUUUCAGCCUCGCAAGGAGCAGCAUUACGGAACCAAUGGAGCGUUUAUUUUUUUUUUCUAAAUUUGUGAAGAGUAUGGCUGGCCCGUGUCAUUAGAUGUUCCUCCGUGCUCUUGUUCUCACGUCUUCCUUUUCGGGCUGUGGUGUCUUACGAAGUGCCCGUUUGGAGCUUGGGACGACAAAGCUGAUAUGUACGGGUGUUCCGAGUUCAUCAUUGAAGCAGGUGAAGCAGUUCUUCGGAGGGAAGAAUGCGUGUGAAGGGCGGUGAUUGGUUGACUGGAGGAGAUGAAUACGUAAGAGCCUCAAGACCCUCAACACCAUUACUCUGCGGAAGCCGGAUGGAGUAUGGAUUGCUGUGCUGGGUGCGUCCUUCCAUCGCAGUGUCAGUCUACUUACAGCCUCGCGAGAAGCAGUAUUACGGCACCAGUACCUUCGUCGAUGUUACGUAAUUUGGCGGUGUAUUGAUGCAGCGUUUUUUCCUAAAUUUGUGCAGAUUAUGGCUGGCCCGUGUCAUUAGAUGUUCCUCCGUGUUCUUGUUCCCACCUUCCUUUUCGGGCAGUGGUGUCUUACGAAGUGCACGUUUGGAGCUUGGGACGACAAAGCUGAUAUGUACGGGUUUCGAGUGCAGCAUUGAAGCAGAGGAAGCAGUUUUUCGGAGGGAAGAAUGCGUGUGGAGUGCGGUGAUUGGGUGACUGGAGAUGAAUACGUAAGACCCGCAAGACUAUUACUUUGCGGAUGCCGGAUGGAGUAUGGAUUGCUGUGCUGGGUGCGUCCUUCAAUCGCAGUGUUACUCUACUUACAGCCUCGCGAGGAGCAGGAUUACGGCACCAGUAACUUCUUCGGUGUUACGUAUUUUGUCUGUUUAUAAUAUGGACCUUGUAUUUUUUAUUAGGUUCUUUUCUUCCCAAUAGAUAGAUUUCCGUAAUUUAGCAGAUACAGCCUGUGUUGCAUGUAAUGUAUUGAUAUCUUUCCUUCCCAAUACUUUCCAUCACUUCCUUUGCAGAUGCGUUUUUUUUUUCUCCUAAAUUUCUGAAGAGUAUGGGUGGCCCGUGUCAUUAGAUGUUCCUCCGUGUUCGUUCCCACGUGUUCCUUUCCGGGCUGUGGUCUUACGAAGUGCACGUUUGGAGCUUGGGACGACAAAGCUGAUGUGUCCUCUAGGGAAUUGUCUGCUUUGCUGUCUAAGUGUCUACGUGCUGUUCUCAAAUCUCGCCACUUAAGAACAGCUGCCCCACUGCCUCCCUGCACAUGGCUGAUGGUGGGAAGGGUCACAUCCCGGGUAGUGACAGUACCUGUAGCAACUCCAAUGGAGGCCGACACCUCCCGUGAGCUACUUGGUUGAGUCUGCAAUGUGACCUC